rnacentral:lncRNA from 1 species
UACCAACCAACACCAUUGGGGUGGAUUAGUUAAGCUUUAGCAGCAGCUUUAUUACUUAUUAGUCUCUAAAUUUGCUUAGCUUUACCAGCUGUCCCAUCGCUUAAUUUCUUCUUUCGCAUGAGACAGAUCGACUGAGCUUUCUCCUGGGUUGUGCCCGCAUAAUCGUGAGUAGUUUAUGUUUUCUUAAGGGGUGCGUAGUUCUGUCAGGGUGAUCUUCCAUCCGUGUGGACCCAACGGCCCAUCGGGUCUAGUUAUGUUUUCUUAAGGGGUGCGUAGUUCUGUCAGGGUGAUUUCCCAUCCGUGUGGGCCCAAUGGCCCAUCGGGUCUAGAUCUGACGCGCCCUGAUCGGGGGCACCCAACCCAACAUGGUUGGCGGGCCCUGCGCUAUAUAAAAAGGUGGGGGCCGGGGCAUGCACUACGAGGAUCGCUGCGUUGCCGUCACCUCUACCGAUCUACGGUUUUUCCAGAGGCGACGGGAAGCUCCGUCCCCGUAGUCGCUCCCCGCCGCCGUCGCUCCCUCCCCGUCGACAUGGGCGCACCGUCGAGUUCUUCGUCCAGCCAAGGAAAAGGUAAUCCCCUCCUCCCCUUACUCUCUGUCUCUCUAGGCCAUUACCCGAAUCCCAAUUCAAUCACAGAUAGAAACAGUUUCCUACCGAUUGAUCUACACCUAGCAUUAUAUCAAUGGUAUCAGAGUCGACCCUAGGGUUGUAGAUCCGUCGGAAAAGAGGAGUAGAAAAGAAAAAGAAGAAAAAGCAAAAGAAAAGAAAAAUAGCCCUUACUCAAAAGAUGGCCGCCGGUCGCCGCCGGUCACCGCCGUGAAAAGGGCGCCACCACCGGUCGCUUGACGGCGACGCGCGCACCGUAGGGUGCGCGAGCGCGCUGGCAAGUGGCCGGGGACGACGCCACGCCCUCCGCGCCG